rnacentral:rRNA from 1 species
UACGGAGGAUCCGAGCGUUAUCCGGAAUCAUUGGGUUUAAAGGGUCCGUAGGCGGGCGAUUAAGUCAGGGGUGAAAGUUUGCGGCUCAACCGUAAAAUUGCCUUUGAUACUGGUCGUCUUGAAUCAUUGUGAAGUGGUUAGAAUGAGUAGUGUAGCGGUGAAAUGCAUAGAUAUUACUCAGAAUACCGAUUGCGAAGGCAGAUCACUAACAAUGCAUUGACGCUGAGGGACGAAAGCGUGGGGAGCGAACAGG